rnacentral:rRNA from 1 species
AACGAACGCUGGCGGCAUGCCUAACACAUGCAAGUCGAACGAGACCUUCGGGUCUAGUGGCGCACGGGUGCGUAACGCGUGGGAACCUGCCCUUAGGUUCGGCAUAACUCCCCGAAUGGGGUGCUAAUACCGGAUAAUGUCUUCGGACCAAAGAUUUAUCGCCUUUGGAUGGGCCCGCGUUGGAUUAGCUAGUUGGUAGGGUAAAAGCCUACCAAGGCGACGAUUCAUAGCUGGUCUGAGAGGAUGAUCAGCCACACUGGGACUGAGAAACGGCCCAGAAUCCUACGGGAGGCAGCAGUGGGGAAUAGUGGACAGUGGGCGAAAGCCUGAUCCAGCAAUGACGCGUGAGUGAUGAAGGCCUUAGGGUUGUAAAGCUCUUUUACCCGGGAUGAUAAUGACAGUACCGGGAGAAUAAGCCCCGGCUAACUCCGUG